AACAAGGCGUACCUGCGGACCUGCGGAAGGAUCAUUACUGGGUGGCUUCGGCCGUAUACCCCUAACCAUUGUGAACGAAACAGUUGCCUCGCUGGAGGGUGGUGAAAACCGCCCGCUGGCAGCACAAAACUCUUCUGAUGUUAUCUGAGUUACUUAUAAAUAAGUUAAAACUUUCAACAAUGGAUCU
rnacentral:misc_RNA from 1 species